UACGUAGGGUGCAAGCGUUGUCCGGAAUUAUUGGGCGUAAAGAGCUCGUAGGCGGUUUGUCGCGUCGAAUGUGAAAACCCGGGGCUCAACCCCGGGCCUGCAUUUGAUACGGGCAGACUAGAGUUCGGUAGGGGAGUCUGGAAUUCCUGGUGUAGCGGUGAAAUGCGCAGAUAUCAGGAGGAACACCGGUGGCGAAGGCGGGACUCUGGGCCGAUACUGACGCUGAGGAGCGAAAGCGUGGGGAGCAAACAGG
rnacentral:rRNA from 1 species